UUGUUAUUUGGAAGUUCUUCGGGAUGGAAGGAUAAGAACUUAGUGGCGGACGGGUGAGUAACGCGUGGGUAACCUGCCCUUUUGUGGGGAACAACUUCGAGAAAUCGGAGCUAAUACCGCAUAAUAAUAGAGAAUCGCAUGAUUCUUUAAGGAAAGAUGGCCACUGAGAAUGCUAUCGCAAAAGGAUGGACCCGCGUCUGAUUAGCUAGUUGGAAGGGUAACGGCCUACCAAGGCAACGAUCAGUAGCCGGCCUGAGAGGGUGAACGGCCACAUUGGGACUGAGACACGGCCCAAACUCCUACGGGAGGCAGCAGUGGGGAAUCUUCCGCAAUGGGCGAAAGCCUGACGGAGCAAUGCCGCGUGAGUGAAGAAGGCCUUCGGGUUGUAAAACUCUGUCCUUAUCGAAGAGAGGUGGGUAUGUGAAUAAUGUACUCAUAGGACGGUAGAUAAGGAGGAAGCCCCGGCUAACUACGUGCCAGCAGCCGCGGUAAUACGUAGGGGGCGAGCGUUGUCCGGAAUCACUGGGCGUAAAGGGCGCGUAGGCGGUUUAAUAAGUCAGUGGUGAAAACUGAGGGCUCAACCCUCAGCCUGCCACUGAUACUGUUAGACUUGAGUAUGGAAGAGGAGAAUGGAAUUCCUAGUGUAGCGGUGAAAUGCGUAGAUAUUAGGAGGAACACCAGUGGCGAAGGCGAUUCUCUGGGCCAAGACUGACGCUGAGGCGCGAAAGCGUGGGGAGCAAACAGGAUUAGAUACCCUGGUAGUCCACGCCGUAAACGAUGGAUA
rnacentral:rRNA from 1 species